CCGGGGCGCGCCCCGGGCGGGGCGGGGGCACGGGGGGAACGCGAAGAACCUUACCUACUCUUGACAUCCAGAGAACUUUCCAGAGAUGGAUUGGUGCCUUCGGGAACUCUGAGACAGGUGCUGCAUGGCUGUCGUCAGCUCGUGUUGUGAAAUGUUGGGUUAAGUCCCGCAACGAGCGCAACCCUUAUCCUUUGUUGCCAGCGAUUCGGUCGGGAACUCAAAGGAGACUGCCGGUGAUAAACCGGAGGAAGGUGGGGAUGACGUCAAGUCAUCAUGGCCCUUACGAGUAGGGCUACACACGUGCUACAAUGGCGCAUACAAAGAGAAGCGACCUCGCGAGAGCAAGCGGACCUCACAAAGUGCGUCGUAGUCCGGAUCGGAGUCUGCAACUCGACUCCGUGAAGUCGGAAUCGCUAGUAAUCGUGGAUCAGAAUGCCACGGUGAAUACGUUCCCGGGUCUUGUACACACCGA
rnacentral:rRNA from 1 species